rnacentral:rRNA from 1 species
UACGUAGGUGGCAAGCGUUGUCCGGAUUUACUGGGCGUAAAGAGCGCGCAGGCGGCCAAGUCAGUCGAAUGUGAAAGCCCCCGGCUUAACUGGGGAGGGUCAUUCGAUACUGCUCGGCUCGAAGACAGGAGAGGGAAGUGGAAUUCCCGGUGUAGUGGCGAAAUGCGUAGAUAUCGGGAGGAACACCAGUGGCGAAGGCGACUUUCUGGCCUGUUCUUGACGCUGAGGCGCGAAAGCUAGGGGAGCAAACGGG